rnacentral:miRNA from 10 species
UGUGUGGUGUGUGUGUGUGUGUGUGUGUGUGUGUGUGUGUGUGUGCGCGCGCGCGUACACGCGCAUGC